rnacentral:lncRNA from 1 species
UCCUCGUUUUCCUGAAUAAACGCACCCCUAGUCUUGAUAAUACCUCAAUUUCGCUUCUUGGGGCAGUUUCCGACUUUGUGGCCUUCUUCACCGCAAUACAAGCAUAGACCUUCUUCCAUAUGCCACUUUUUUUCUUCUAGAGUAAGAGAUUUGACACGUACCGCAUCAAUUUGCAUGUCUUCUACCUCUGAAUGUGAAUU